rnacentral:rRNA from 1 species
UACGUAGGGUGCAAGCGUUAAUCGGAAUUACUGGGCGUAAAGCGUGCGCAGGCGGUUUUGUAAGUCUGAUGUGAAAUCCCCGGGCUCAACCCGGGAACUGCGUCCGAUACUGGCAGGCUUGAAUCCGGGAGAGGGAUGCGGAAUUCCAGGUGUAGCGGUGAAAUGCGUAGAGAUGUGGAGGAAUACCGAUGGCGAAGGCAGCCCCCUGGGAUAACACUGACGCUCAUGCACGAAAGCGUGGGGAGCAAACAGG